rnacentral:rRNA from 1 species
ACGGAGGCAGCAGUGGGGGAUAUUGCGCAAUGGGGGAAACCCUGAUGCAGCGACGCCGCGUGAGUGAAGAAGUAUUUCGGUAUGUAAAGCUCUAUCAGCAGGAAAGAUAAUGACGGUACCUGACUAAGAAGCACCGGCUAAAUACGUGCCAGCAGCCGCGGUAAUACGUAUGGUGCAAGCGUUAUCCGGAUUUACUGGGAGUAAAGGGAGCGUAGACGGCAUGGCAAGCCAGAUGUGAAAGGCAGGGGCUCAACUCCUGGACUGCAUUUGGAACUGUCAAGCUAGAGUAUCGGAGAGGUAAGUGGAAUUCCUAGUGUAGCGGUGAAAUGCGUAGAUAUUAGGAGGAACACCAGUGGCGAAGGCGGCUUGCUGGACGAUAACUGACGUUGAGGCUCGAAAGCGUGGGGAGCAAACAGGAUUAGAUACCCUGGUA